rnacentral:lncRNA from 1 species
AGAAGGAGAAAUUCAUUUAUAAAACCACAGACGUAUAAAGAGCGACAUGUCAUGGACUAACAGGAGAGUCCAAUUCAGGUCACGUUGGACCAUUACAAUAAAAGAACAAGUCAAAAACAAAAUCUAACACAAAUACUUCCGAUGAGAACCGCAACUAGAGGCUAACACAGUAGACCCACAUGAGAGGACCGUAGAAACCCCAAAUAGUAACUCACAUGAGAGGACUGCAGAACAUCUCAAUUGUCAAAAGAAGCCUUCUAUGAGCAAAAUCAUAGUCUUUUGACACCCAUACAAACUGUAAGUCAUACCAUAACAGAAGCUAGGAGAGAACACGGAGGACGAACACAGAAACAAUAGUAAAGAGACCCAUGAGAAGCACUUCACUUUAACUCAGAACCUGACAAAGAAAACUUCCUAUGACCAAGCAUAGUUCUUCGGUUGGCGCAGAGUAAAGAAGAGCACUACAUCCCAACAAUUACCACCAAUGUAGCUGUUGCCGCCGCCGUUAAAACAGAAACAAAACAUCAGCCACCAGGUAUGACAACUCUCCCAAGGAGAGACACAAUCCAGUGUCAUUACUGUAGCCGCCGCCGAGACAAAGACAACACCAGUCACCUGGAAUAUUGCAAAAACAACCAAACAAAAUAAACAGACAAACAGAUCUAGACUAUUUGGGGAGGGGAAGGGGAGGAGAAAAAGGGAUAAGAGGAAAGGAAAAUAUGGGAGAAAAAGAAAGGGAGAUGAGGAGAGGAAGGGGAAGAUGAGCGGAGGGGAGGAGGUGCAGUGGCCACCUCCCCCCUUAGCUUCCUCGCGGUUGGUUGUUAGCAAAAAGAAAGGGGAUAAGAGUGCGGCUAGGGUUUUGCCAAUUCCAUAUAGUUAAGUAAACAACUUCAAUAGGAAUCCAAAAUCUAAUUCUCCUCAAUCCAACUCCUCCUCAAUUCAAUUCCUCAUGAUCCAAUUACGGAUUAAUAAACAUACCAUCAAUGUUUUGUUUUGUUAUUUUAAAUAUUUUAUUCAACUUUAAAUAAUUUUAAAAAAAAAAAAAAAUUCCCACGUGUGCCACCACCUUGCAUGUUGCAACACAUUUUCAAGCACACCUUGCAAGUUGUAACACAUUUUCAAGAUGAAAUAUUUUGUUAUAAAAACUGAAAACAUGUCUUAAGUGUGCAAGUCAUUUCGGGUAUCUCAAAACAACAUAUAACCAAGGUCUUUGUUUUGUUUUUUUAAACCUGAAAAGCAAAGGUCGAGGUUUAAUAUUGAUUCUUGACUAGUUGGACUCAUCCCAAAUUAAAAAGAAAAAAAAAAAAAAAAGAGUAGAACAUCUUGACUAGUCACACAAGUUGAACCAGUGCUUGCUUUGCCUUGCCUGCUUGAAUUUUUGUACUCACCUCCUUGCACACCCACUGCCUAAAUUAGGUAGGCAUGUGCUGUUGAAUUAUAGUCAUGUUUGUCAGCAUGACAAUUACCCUUCAGCAUGGAUCUACAUAAUUAUAUGGUUGCCUAGUCUAAUCAAUCAAAAUUUGUACUCAACAAAAUAUAAGAUGAAAAUUAAAUCACCUGACCUAGAGAGUUUAUCAUUUCAGUAUUAAACAUUUACUUUCAUACUUACUAUUUGUACUUCAACUUAAUUUUUUUUUCCGACACCAACUAGCUCUUCAUGUGCAAACGUGAGUUAAGCGAAUUGGCUACAAUAAUGCGCCCGAUCCUUUACACAUAAGUUCGAAUUUCCGUAUUUAUCAAUUAGAGUUGUUUAGAUUAUCGUUUUAUACAAAGAAUAUUAGGGAUAAGAAUUAAGCACAUGACUCUAACUAAAACUCAGAAAUUGAAGAUGAGAAAUUGAUAUUAGGGAUAGGGAUAGAGUUUGUGCUCCUAAGUGCUCAAUUACUUCAGCUCCAUCCAAACCCUUACGAGUCGACAAGUUGUAACUUAAAUGACCUGAAUAUACCAUCUGCCAACACCUUGCACAACCUAACCUCAAGUCCCAGUCAAUACUCAACUCCAUCCAUUUUCCCACCAACCCCAAGGGACCCCCCU